rnacentral:rRNA from 1 species
UACGUAGGGUCCGAGCGUUGUCCGGAAUUACUGGGCGUAAAGAGCUCGUAGGCGGUUUGUCGCGUUGUUCGUGAAAACUCACAGCUUAACUGUGGGCGUGCGGGCGAUACGGGCAGACUGGAGUACUGCAGGGGAGACUGGAAUUCCUGGUGUAGCGGUGGAAUGCGUAGAGAUCGGGAAGAACACCCGUGGCGAAGGCGGCCAGCUGGGCCGGUUCUGACGCUGAGGCGCGAAAGCGUGGGGAGCAAACAGG